UUUCUAUUUUUCAACACUGUGAUGAGUGCAGCGAUGGUUUGGAAAAGUCACGAUAGAACGACUUAGCUUGAACUCUGGAGACCCCCUGGACCCACCCCUUUAGGACGCCUGGAGGUCCCCGCAACCCGUUUUGGGGAUCCCCCCCUCCUCUCUCCUCCACACAACCCUUCUGGGUUCUCGGCCCUGAUUCUGUCCCAGUGGACGCGGUGAUGCAGGGGUUAACGUGGUGACGUGGUGCUCCUGAAGCGGUGACCCACGGGGGCCAGCCGGUGGGGGCUGCAGGGGGAGAAGGGGAGAAAGCCGAGGCUGAGGUCCCGUUUGGGAAAGAGGAAAGGGAGGAAGACUGCAACAACCGCGUUUCUGCAAUUAUUUCUAAGCUGCCGCUCGCAGAUUUCGCUUCUUCCGCAUUCAUCUCCAACCUGCGGCUCAUUUGUUGUUCUACGUAUCCUCAGUAAACGCCUCCUCGAAUGGAAACUGUGUGUGUGUGUGUGUGUGUGUGUGUUUGUGUUUUUCAUUCACGAUUGUUUGCAAUUAUUUCUUUGUUUCAGAGCGACACAUCGAAGCAGCCUUUCCGUGGAGCGAGAAACUGGAGAUAAAUGCCACUUUUACGCAGAAAACUUGUCCGGACCGUUUGGACUUGAUCAAAGGGUGCGCAAACGCGCACAAAUGCUGUGGACUCUUUAACGCCUGUGCUAAAUGUUUAUAGCGCUGUUACAAUUGAAGCCGUGUGUGCACUGCCGUGUUUUGCGUUGCGCCGACCGGUCAUCCUCAAAACAAAAUGCCUCUGAAACUGGGCAGAGCUGUUACAUAUAGCAGGCAUUGAUGUAGCUGCUGGUGGAUUUGGAGAAAAAAGGUGGGUAAACUGUGACCUCCAGAUGGUAAUUAGGGAUAUCAUUUGGCAAACAGCUACAAACAAAUAUCAGUUGGAUUUCCAGAGAAGUGCUGAUUGCUCCUUUUCAUGCCAGACUCUGAAACUAUUCCGCAAAUAAAAAACCGAGCACGGCCUGCCUUCCACCACAUCACGGUUAUAGGUUAACACAUGGUGCCAGAGGAAUCAUUACCCAAAACCUCGUAGUUCACUUUGAUAGAGCUUGUAGAGAGAGGGGGCAGUUUGGUCAGAAAGAACGAUAGGCCUCUUGUCAGAAAAAGGUGUGUGUAGGUGUGUGUGUUUUGGUGCGUAAAUGUGUGUGAAGCCUACUAUAAGGAUAUAUAUUUCUUGGUGGCGAUAGAAGUGGGUGUAUUCCGGGUGUGAAACUCAUUGAUGAUGUCCCUUUGCCCCCUCCCCUGAUAAAAAAAAGACAAAACAUAAAAUGCAAGAAAGCUCCCUUUUACUAAGAGACGAGAGAGAGCGAACGAGAGAGAGAGAGAGAGAGAGGGAGAGAGAGAGCAUGGGAAAGAGAGGAAGGGAGAGUCUCUCCAUCAAUUUUCUGUUUAAUGUCAGCGCUGCAGCUCCAUUGUGGGAGAGAGAGGACGCGUCAUCCAGACAUAAAUUUGCUAUUAGACAGCCUCACGGAGACUCACAUCCACAGAAUCCGGAGCUCGUAGUCGGGAAAACCCCUCGGUGGAUAAACUCAGCAGAGAACUAACGCAUAAGGAAACGGAGCGCUAUUUAAGUCCACACUUUUGGAUGAAGCGUGUAGGAACAGGAUUCUUUUUUUUGAGAGGAAGAAAAAGUCUUUUUUUUUGGUAGUUUAUUUUUUAAUUCUUAUUAAUUAUUACAAUUAUGUGCAAUAUGGAGACGGUCAUUUUCUAGGACAUGACGGGGACUCAGUUUCCACCCUGCAAAGCCAAAACUCCGCUCAAUGCGAGGGGAGCCCGAAGUUCAUAAAAGGGAUUAUUUGCAUCUGGGUGCCUGAGACCUUCGGUGCCUCCGGAUUUUACUUCGGAUUUGGGAUUUAUCGCUUCUCAACGGGAUGGAAAGCCGAGAUUUCGCUCCUCCGCACCACCUCCUGACGGAGCGGGGCGCGUUGGUUCACAGCGCCGCGUCUCGGUUGGCGCCAGGCGGCCACGGCUCCGUGCAGCACCCCGCUCACUUCCAGCCUGGGAAAUACUACUCGUCCCACCUCUCCAUGGGUCCGCACUCAGGUCAGUUUUGAAUGGAGCUUUUUUGUGUGUGUGUAAAUGACAAGUGUGGGUUUAAAAAUAUAUAUAUAAUUGUCUAUCUUUUGUCUGAAGCAUACGCUCUGCAUAUUUCAAACUUGGGAAACCUGAAAGCUCCUUGGGACGAGCUAAUUUACUGUGGAAGGAAAUUGCUCAGAUUGUGGGCUAUUAGAAAUUAAUGGAAAGAAUGCGCAGGCAUCAUAAAGAGUUUUAUUUUUUAUUUUAUUCAAUAAACUGUUUAUGACAUAGCUGCUUUCUGUAUCAAUUCAGUGUUUCA